UGCUCCUUUGACGUUAGCGGCGGACGGGUGAGUAACACGUGGGUAACCUACCUAUAAGACUGGGAUAACUUCGGGAAACCGGAGCUAAUACCGGAUAACAUUUGGAACCGCAUGGUUCUAAAGUGAAAGAUGGUUUUGCUAUCACUUAUAGAUGGACCCGCGCCGUAUUAGCUAGUUGGUAAGGUAACGGCUUACCAAGGCGACGAUACGUAGCCGACCUGAGAGGGUGAUCGGCCACACUGGAACUGAGACACGGUCCAGACUCCUACGGGAGGCAGCAGUAGGGAAUCUUCCGCAAUGGGCGAAAGCCUGACGGAGCAACGCCGCGUGAGUGAUGAAGGGUUUCGGCUCGUAAAACUCUG
rnacentral:rRNA from 1 species